UACGUAGGGGGCAAGCGUUAUCCGGAUUUACUGGGUGUAAAGGGAGCGUAGACGGCAGUGCAAGUCUGAAGUGAAAGGCGGGGGCCCAACCCCCGGACUGCUUUGGAAACUGUGCUGCUGGAGUGCAGGAGAGGCAAGUGGAAUUCCUAGUGUAGCGGUGAAAUGCGUAGAUAUUAGGAGGAACACCAGUGGCGAAGGCGGCUUGCUGGACUGUAACUGACGUUGAGGCUCGAAAGUGUGGGGAGCAAACAGG
rnacentral:rRNA from 1 species